rnacentral:sRNA from 1 species
CCCAGCCGCCGCGUAAGGACCAGCAGCCGGGCCCGGCCGGUGGCGGAGGAGACUUCCCAAGUAAGAAGCGGAAGAGGAGCCGCUGGAACCAAGACACAAUGGAACAGAAGACAGUGAUUCCGGGAAUGCCUACAGUUAUUCCCCCUGGACUUACUCGAGAACAAGAAAGAGCUUAUAUAGGUAAAUAUACGUUCUGCAUCCAAAUGCACUUUGAGAUUGUUACGAUUUAUUCUGAGCAAGAUCUGCAUUUUUUGAAAGUUUGAGAUUGUAGUUAUCUUUUUUGAGAUGAGAUACUUUCACGACUUUGGUAUCAUCUGUCAGUUUUUGCCCAGUGAGUUCUGCAUUUGCAGCUCCUUGUUUUGGUCUGUUCGUAACUGCAGUGUUCUCCAUGAGUAUCAGGAAGGUAGGGUUUCACUUAGGAGUAAGAACAGUCCCCAAUCCAGCAGCCACCCUUUUCAGCUGCUGUUCAUUGCCAGUUGAUGAGGUGAGUGUCAUCUGCCUCUCUGGACAGGCCCCAGUGGAGAACACCGCAGGUACUGGAAACCAAGUACUUUUCACAGCAUGGCCUUUCACCAUAAUUUUAUAUUUCUCCCCCUAAAAUGUGGUCUUUUAUUUUUUAUAGGUACUUUCUG